UCUUUUUCCAUGCACAAAUAGUGUCCAUCCUCCACACUCUGUGUCUCCUAUCUCCUCCAACCCGCCCCAGCUCGGUUGGGGCUCGCCCGAUCCCAUCCGGGCAUGAGCAGGCCCGCACGCCGCCGUUGCCUGUCCUCGAGCGCCAGAUCGGGAAGGAGCUCCGAUCCAUGUUGCCCGUCGUCGACCGCCAGACCACAUCAUGUUGCUCGGAUGCUCGCCGCCGCAGGCGCGUGCCACUGUAUUGCCUCCCGCGCUAGUCCCAUCUCAGGCCGAUGCCUACUCUGCAACAAGGAGCUCACCCAAGCACCGCUGUUGCGUGUUGCCUUCGUUGGCCAUCGGAUCUAGCACGCCGCCGCAAGCCCCAAUCCGGAUCCAGCCUCUCCCACCGCUAGCCUCGCCCUUCUCCAACCUCCGGCGAGCUACCGCUUGCUGCGUCGGUGCCAGCCGCCUGUGCCGCCUACCCUCAAUCCUCAUCACAUCAGAGAGGUAGGUUGGGCGCUCCCGCUGCUUACGUGGUCCUACUGGGUAAGGCCAGGCCCAAUCGCCCUGAUGCACCCUGCCCGAGGCCUAGCUACAACUCGGCCUGCCUUCGUCAUCCCAGCUGGGCCAAAGAUCCACGAGUUUUUCUUCUUCUCUAUAGUGUUUUGGAACCGAUUCAGAGUGUGAAGAUUCCUUCGACUACGCCCGUUCGUCUACUUCACCGUUUCGUUCUUCUUCCAUGCAGGAUCUCACGCAAGCUGAUCAUUUCCCUAGAUACGAUUACUAUCAUUGCCAUGUUAAUUCUCUCAUUUCUAUCGCUAUGUCUUGCUUCCUACCACUUGUUUGUCAAGCCUCCCAAAAUUCCAUGAUAAGCCUCGAAGCCUCCACAUCCCAGCAAACCAGUGUUUGGCUAUGUUACCGCUUGCUUAGCCCUUCUUAUAGCAUUGUUAGUUGGAGGUGCAGGUUGUUCCAUGUGAUAACAUGGAUAUCUUGGGAUGUCAGAAUAUUAUUGGUAUUUAAUUUAAUGUCCAUAUAUAUUUUGUAAAA